rnacentral:rRNA from 1 species
UUCAGAGGGGGACACCAGUUGGAAACGACUGCUAAUACCGCAUACGAUCUAACCUCGGCAUCGAGGAUAGAUGAAAGGUGGCCUCUAUUUAUAAGCUAUCACUGAAGGAGGGGAUUGCGUCUGAUUAGCUAGUUGGAGGGGUAACGGCCCACCAAGGCGAUGAUCAGUAGCCGGUCUGAGAGGAUGAACGGCCACAUUGGGACUGAGACACGGCCCAGACUCCUACGGGAGGCAGCAGUGGGGAAUCUUCCGCAAUGGACGAAAGUCUGACGGAGCAACGCCGCGUGAGUGGUGACGGCCUUCGGGUUGUAAAGCUCUGUUAAUCGGGACGAAAGGCCUUCUUGCGAAUAGUUAGAAGGAUUGACGGUACCGGAAUAGAAAGCCACGGCUAACUACGUGCCAGCAGCCGCGGUAAUACGUAGGUGGCAAGCGUUGUCCGGAAUUAUUGGGCGUAAAGCGCGCGCAGGCGGAUUGGUCAGUCUGUCUUAAAAGUUCGGGGCUUAACCCGUGAUGGGAUGGAAACUGCCAAUCUAGAGUAUCGGAGAGGAAAGUGGAAUUCCUAGUGUAGCGGUGAAAUGCGUAGAUAUUAGGAAGAACACCAGUGGCGAAGGCGACUUUCUGGACGAAAACUGACGCUGAGGCGCGAAAGCCAGGGGAGCGAACGGGAUUAGAUACCCCGGUAGUCCUGGCCGUA